GUGAUAAUGAUGUCUCAGAAACAAGUCUCUUUUGCUAAGGUCGUCACCAUGUUGGUCAGGCUGGUCUCGAACUUCUGACAUCAGGUGAUCCACCCGCCUUGGCCUCCCAAAGUGCUGGGAUUACAGGUGUGAGCCACCGUGCCCAGCCUGGCCUCACAAUAAUCUUAUGGAUCAGAGUCUCGCCCUGUCUCCCAGUCUUGGCACAAUCUUGGCUGACUGCAACCUCUGCUUCCUGGGUUCAAGCAAUUCUCCUGCCUCAGCCUCCUAAGUAGCUGGUACUACAAGCAUACCACCAAAUCCGGCUAAGUUUUGUGUUUUUAGUAGAGAUGGGGUUUCACUAUGUUGCCCAGCCUGGUCUCGAACUCCUGAGCUCAGGUGACCCUCCCGCCUCAGCCUCUCACAGUGCUGGGAUCACAAGUGUGAGCCACUAAACUCUGCCCAAAAUAUCUUAAUUCUCUCACAUUUUUGUUAAAUGUUUACUAGGAAAUUAAAGCAAGAUAUUUGAAUGUUUUGGUUUAUGCAAACUCAAUGAAAGAUGUUGCUAUCAUUUGAUUUACAUUUGUGUUACAAAGAUUUAUAGAAAGUACUGUUGAGAUUCUUAAAUACCCAUAUUUAUCUUGCCUGAAUUAUACAUAACUGUGUGUUAAAAUACCUCAAGG
rnacentral:lncRNA from 13 species